rnacentral:sRNA from 1 species
ACUUUGGCCACCUCUGAAUCGAAGGGGGAAGAGAAUGUAAAUCUCGGUGAAGAAAUGGUCCAGACAAGUAAGAAAACAUUUUCCUUUUUAGGUUCAUUAAAGGAUUCAUCAGUCGCAACAAACCCCUCUGUCCUGACAACGAGGAAUUUAUCGUGUUUGUGCGGAAGAAUUACAUCUUGAAUCUCCGGUAUCACCUUCCAAAGACUGUCCUGGACAAGAGCUGGCUGAGGCCUCCUGGCAUCUUGGAAAAUGCAUCAGAUCUACUCAGGAAAAUGUGCGUGAGGAACUUGGUGCAGAAAUACUGCCGCGGGAUCACAGCUGAGCGGAAAGCGAUGAUGCAGCAAAAGGUAGUUACAAGUGAAAUCUUCAGGGGAAGGAAAGACGGCUACACAGAAAGUUUAAAUCAACCCUUUGUCAACAGUCGGAUAGAUGAAGGAGACAUUAAUCCGAAAGUGCUUCAGCUAAUUAGCCAUGAGAAAAUCCAGUAUGGUGUCCCGGUCAUUAAAUAUGACAGAAAAGGCUUCAAAGCACGGCAGCGGCAACUCAUUCUUACUCAGAAAGCAGCUUACGUGGUGGAACUUGCCAAAAUCAAGCAGAAAAUAGAGUACUCAGCUCUCAAAGGUGUCUCCACUAGCAAUCUGAGUGAUGGAAUCUUAGUCAUUCAUGUUUCACCAGAGGACAGCAAGCAAAAGGGGGAUGCCGUUUUGCAGUGUGGACACGUGUUUGAAGCAGUUACUAAACUUGUCAUGCUGGUUAAGAAGGAGAACAUUGUCAGUGUUGUUCAAGGAAGUUUACAGUUUUUUAUUAGUCCGGGAAAAGAAGGCACAAUAGUUUUCGACACUGGACCAGAAGAACAAGUCUAUAAAAAUAAAAAUGGACAAUUAACAGUGGUGUCAGUCCGGAGGAAGUCCUGAUAGAGGAUGACGUCUGACCUCUGUCAUCGCCAUUUUUGCUCCAACUGAGGAAACUACAGGGGAAGUGGGGAUUGGAUCCAGUUAGCUACCUCUUCAAGGUACCAGGCCCGUGGCACUAACAGAUCACAUCUGAAGAAACUGAGGGGCGUUAGGCCAAAGCCUAAUCCCAGCUUCUCAGCUGCCCCGUGGCACCUUAUUAAAAUGUCACCUUCUGGAAGCAGACCCCAGGUCACCCGAAGGCGUAAUUCUAAACACCCUCGACAGGAUCUAUG